GACGAACGCUGGCGGCGUGCUUAACACAUGCCAGUCGAACGGAAAGGCCCUGCUUUUGUGGGGUGCUCGAGUGGCGAACGGGUGAGUAACACGUGAGUAACCUGCCCUUGACUUUGGGAUAACUUCAGGAAACUGGGGCUAAUACCGGAUAGGAGCUCCUGCUGCAUGGUGGGGGUUGGAAAGUUUCGGCGGUUGGGGAUGGACUCGCGGCUUAUCAGCUUGUUGGUGGGGUAGUGGCUUACCAAGGCUUUGACGGGUAGCCGGCCUGAGAGGGUGACCGGCCACAUUGGGACUGAGAUACGGCCCAGACUCCUACGAGAGGCAGCAGUGGGGAAUAUUGCACAAUGGGCGGAAGCCUGAUGCAGCAACGCCGCGUGCGGGAUGACGGCCUUCGGGUUGUAAACCGCUUUCGCCUGUGACGAAGCGUGAGUGACGGUAAUGGGUAAAGAAGCACCGGCUAACUACGU
rnacentral:rRNA from 1 species